UGUGCCCGUGCGCAUGCGCACUGGGAAAGAAAAUGGACUCAAUGGGAGGACUUGCGCAGAUACCAGGACCCUCUGCUCUGAGCCACAAUGAAGAACUUUCCCAGACUAGGCAAGCCCAGGUACUACUGAAACAAAAGUGAGAGCAGAGCCAUCCCUGUGCCGACAGGAGCUUCUAAAGUUAAUAACAGUGUUGGACAUUGGUGCCAGUUAUAGAUACAGAGGCGUAACAAGUGGAGAAGAGGAAGGAUAUGCUUUUAUCAGUGCCCACCAUGUGCCAGAUAAAAUGAAUUGGCUCAUUGGAAAUAUGCUAAUGACCCUGCCAGACUCCAGCAUGAUGAGCAAUUUGGAACGCUGCCCUCUUGCCCACUGUGAUGGAGUGAUGAUUUUAUCCCUUCCUUCCCUGGACCCCUAAGGCAAGAACUGAGCUUCACUCUGCUAGAAGGUCAAUCGUUGGAAAUUGCUCAAAAGGAGUAAGGGAUUUAGUGCUGUAAAACAUUCAUGUAAGUUAACUGGAAGUGUAAAUCAAGAACCAGCAAAAAUAAACUGCUACAGUGCUGCUUCCCUGAUUGAAAUAUCAUCAUUAAUGUAGAAUUGACUUAAAUAAUUUUUACGAUCUUUCUUCUCUCAGGUAAUCAACAGUUGUUUCUUAAGAGAUAAAUUGUAUUCUUUUUGAAAUUAUUUGGGGAGGGGCAUAGCAUCAGGCAAGUAGUUCAAAAAAACAGUAAAUGAGUGACAG
ensembl:lncRNA